AUACGGAGGAUGCGAGCGUUGUUCGGAAUUAUUGGGCGUAAAGAGCAUGUAGGCGGUCUGUUAAGUCUGGUGUGAAAGCCCGGGGCUCAACCCCGGAAGUGCAUUGGAUACUGGCAGACUUGAGUAUGGGAGAGGAAAGCGGAAUUCCGAGUGUAGGAGUGAAAUCCGUAGAUAUUCGGAGGAACACCAGUGGCGAAGGCGGCUUUCUGGACCAAUACUGACGCUGAGAUGCGAAAGCGUGGGGAGCGAACAGGAUUAGAAACCCCAGUAGUCC
rnacentral:rRNA from 1 species